GUGAUUUCCGUUAUGCACAUGAUUAGAGAUUUGUGGAUCUGUGGUUUUGAUUUUAUGGAUAUUUGGUUCUCGUAUUUAUGUAUUUACGCAUCGUGGUUUUCUACACCUCGAGGUAGUCGGUUUUCAAAAUGGAGUUUCCGAGUGGAAAACAGUUUUAAAAAGGUUUUCGAAGGGUUUUUGUGAAUGAUUGAAUUAGAGUUUAAAAACAAAGCUUUCGGGUGGGGAGCACUUUUAAAUAAGAUGCUUGUUGUAUUGUGCAUUGCAUCAUCCAGUGUCUAAGGAGUGUUUAGAGACAUGCAUCAUCUCUAAGGAUCGCUAGCUGUAUGAAAAUGCAUCGCAUAUAUUGGAUGUUGAUUGGUGAAUGUAAGUUGUCGUUGUGAUCCUGAUGUAGCUAUUGGUACGCCGUGCAAAUACAAAGGAGUGACUGCUCUGGUUACAAAUGGAACACAGUUCAGGAGUCGAGUAAACUCACGGAUGUACUCCUGAACCGCUCACUCUCCCUGCUGUAGCCUCUUCAGAUCCUCCUUGAGUUUCUGUUUCACACUGUUUGGAAAAUACAUCCCAUACAGCAUUCCA
rnacentral:lncRNA from 1 species